CCCCGAAUGGCUCAGCAGGUAAAAGCAUCUGCCUGCAAUGCAGGAGACACAAGUUCGAUUCCUGGGUUGGGAA
rnacentral:tRNA from 1 species